rnacentral:misc_RNA from 1 species
CUUCAAAUAAUUCAAAAUGGCCGCCGCCUGGCGUAUUGGUAACAGUGGCUAGUGUUGUGACAACGAUCCCCAUGAUAAUUCUUAUUCUCAGGGAUUUAGUAAUCUAUCAUAGUUUUCGUGAAUAAUAGCAUUAUUAGAGUAUCUGACACCUGGUAUCGCAGUUUUACUAUGAAACCUUUUGACGAACAUUGAAUGGCUGUAAAGAAGAGUUUACAAUUUACAUCGAUCAUGCGAUAUUGUAAAACGAAAGUGAGCAAUCAGGUGCUCCUGAACGCCAAUAUGUUCCAUUGGGAUAUUCGGCCACAUCAUCAACAAUCACAGGCUAUUCAAAAUAUCUAUGCAUCACCUAUUUAUGUGCCAGUUCCCGAUUCACUACCUUCCCAAAUCAAUUAACCGGAGCCAGUGGAACGUUUGGAUUCAAAAGAAAGAGUUUCUCAGUUGGAAGAUCUAUAGUGGAUGCUGGAACUACAGAAGAAGAUUCAGGAAUUGGAGUUUAGUUGGCAGGAAGCCAAAGCCAAACAAGCUGUUCCAGCCGGUUGUCAUUGACAAAUCGACAUCUGCAGCUAUUUCCACUGGAGCAAGAAGCCGAACUUUGUGUGCUCCUGAAAAGAAUUCUUCUACCUCAUCUUGUGUCUCUUCUAAAAUUCUGAUUGAAAUUGAUCUUCUGCACGUCCGAUUGAGCAAUGUGAUCACCUCAACCGGAGCUGUCGUUGUCAACCGUCGUCGCAUUGGAAAGAUAGCCGACAACUAUCAGGAGCCGAUUGGGCGUGGAGAAGUCUUCAAAGGAACUUGGCAUGGAUGUCAAGUAGCCGUCAAAGAAAUCCGCUCUCCUUGGCGUUGCAGCACAGUCGUCGAGGCUCGAUCGUUCGCCAAGAUGAUUAAACGAUAGGUUGAAGCCCUUUCAGCAGUCCGAUAUUAUUGGACUGCUCCGUAUUUGUAUGGAUAACGAAUCGAGUGAUGGUGAAACAUCGAAUAGAGUCUCGCUCUUCUUUCAAUUCCCCAACGGAGGGACUCUUUUUUGAAUGUCUUUUCGGUGGCCAAGCUAAAAACAGCAAAUUCAAAUUAGACGUGAAUCAAAUGAUGCUGAUCGCUCGCCAUCUCACCGCGAAACUCUCCAUCUACUGCAUUCCAGUCAGCAGAAACCGGGCGGUUCAGUUAUGGUCCACCGUGACGUGAAAUCCGCCAAUGUUUUACUGCAACGGGAUGACGAAGGAAGAGUCGUGCGAGCUGGUUUGGCCGAUUUAACGUCUUCAUUUGGAUCUUAACGAAAGUGGCUCCGGCUCUGGCCUAGCAGCCAGUUUCAUGACAGCCGUGGUAGGUAGCCACGGCUGUGUCCAUUUUAUGCGGAGAGUUCAAUCUACAGACGGGCCGGCCAGUUUGCAUGUCCUUCACGCUUGAAGGUCGCGGGGAAUAUUACGUAAAAGUGUCAUGCGACGGCGGAGAGGUUGGACCCAUCCCCAGCAACGUCAACCUAAAAAAGGAAAGGCAAGUUUCCAUUUUCGUCAAUUUCGAAGGUCACGGAGAUACCAUUACGUUAAACGUGUCAUGUGGAGUAGAGGUUGGGUGAGAAUGGGAAGUGUCAUCAUUAUCAAGCAGGAAAAAAAAAGGUCAAAGAAAUCAGUCGAGUGAUCAUCUCCGAUACGGCAAUAGCAACUGCAGUGCACUAUUGAUCAUCAAUUGAUUCUUCACUGUGUAACCAGUUCGCAAUCAUGGUUAAUUAUGGCGUUGUGUUGCUGUUGGGUCGACCACGAGUGUACCGAUUUCUCCUGGAUACGGUGGCCCCGAGUUACUUCACCAAAGCGCCUGAGUACUACACUAAGGCUCCCAACUAUUGCACCAUCAAAGCUCCAGACUACUACACCGAGGCUCCAGUUUAUUACACCACUAAAGCAAUCGAAUACUACACCGAAGUGCCAUCGAAGUACUACACUGCAAUCUACGCUGCCCCAGCUUACACCACCAAGUGACCGGAGUACUGCACCACAACCUACGCUGCCCCAGUUCACUACGCCGCCCUGAGCUACACAACCACAUCUGAGGCAGCCGUUAUUACUGCACAGCGGCUGCUUCUUAGUACUACAUUGAACCGGAAUACUACACUGAUGCUCCAGUUUACUACACCACAACCUACGUUACACCUACCGAAGCUCCCAAGUACUACACAACCAAGGCACCCGAGCUACUACUUAGGCUGCUCCGACAUUCUGCACCAAAGCUGCGAAGUAUUCCACUGCCCCGAGUUACUACACAACAAAGGCACCUGAAUGUUACAUCACAACCUACGCUUCUCCAAUUCACUACAUAAUGGCGAAGCCAGAAAUGGAAACAGGAAUCACUCGAGUAGAAUAACCAAUGAAGCGUUGUUGACACUCAACUUGCAUCUGACCGUGACGGAGAUUAUUUCGUAAAAUGUGCCAUGUAGUGGUGUAGAGGUUGGGUAACAACGGGACGUGUUUCAUCAUUAUCAAAAAGGUAGAAUUGCUGAAAGGCUUGAGUUGAGAGGUAAAUCGGGGUUAGAAAAAGUCGUAUAAAAGGAGAUAAGGAAGGUGAUAGAGAUUAGUCUAGUGAGCAUCUCCGACCCGGCAACAACUGCUUUCUUCCAAUUCUCAAUCAUGGUUAAUUUAUAGUCUAGUGCUGUUGUUUGGUGUAUCGUUGACGGUCGAGUCGUCCACUGGUGUACCGGUGCCCCUGGGUGUGGCAGAUACCAAAACCGCAAUGCUACCGUCUUACUACACAACAAACAUACGCAACCAGUUACUACACCUAAAAGGCCGUAUGUUACACAAGGACGUAUGCUACACCGGUUUACUACACCAGUUUACUACACCGAGGAAUUCAAGUAUUACUCUUCCCCGAACAAAUACCAAACAGAGGCUCCUGUUUACUACACCACCAUCGCCCUCGAGUGUUACACUACAACCUACGCUGCCCCCAACUACUACACUGUAGCUCCGAAGUGCUACACAUCAAUGCACAACCAAUUCGCAAUUGUUUAUUUUUACGUCGUGCUGCUGUUGGUUGUUCUAUCGUUGCCAACGUGUUGACCACUGUACCGAACUCCACCGACUUUGGG